UGUUGUUUUGGUAAAAAGUUAAUCCGAUACGAUUAGAUUCUGAUUCAUUGAUCAUCAUUGUCAUUGUCAUUGUGUCACCAGAUUUAAUUGACUGAAAUUGAUUCAGAUUAUUAAACAUGAUUAUAUUCAUAAUCCUUUCAGUGACUUAAUUGUGGAAAAAAAUUUUGUUAUUAAAUUGCUUGUGAUGUUAAUUGUUUGGAUGGAGCAAAAAUGUUUUCGUUUCCGUGAUGGUUUCCUUUUCUAAUUUUUCCAUUGAUGUGUGGUCUUCAUCUCUCUCUCUCUUGGUUUGGAUAUCAAUUUACACUCUUCUAACUGACCCAAUGCAAAUGUAAUGAUGACCUUUUCGUUUCACUGAUGAAUUUGAUUCUAAAUUGACCAUCGAAAAAUUUACUGGACAAUCAUCGUCAUCAAUUGUCUUCUCACUGUGGGAAAAGAAAGGGAUACUGCUAAUUAAUAACUUCCUUUUCCUCUCUCUCUCACACACACACACUCACUCAUUUAUCUUUUGUUUUCAAAAGAAUUGUAUUAAUUGUGUAGAAAUGUAAUUAGACAAAUAAAGAAAAAAAAAGUUUACUAUUUUUUCAAUAAGAAAAAAAACAAAA